UACGGGAGGCAGCAGUGGGGAAUAUUGCACAAUGGGCGCAAGCCUGAUGCAGCCAUGCCGCGUGUAUGAAGAAGGCCUUCGGGUUGUAAAGUACUUUCAGCGGGGAGGAAGGCGAUGCGGUUAAUAACCGCGUCGAUUGACGUUACCCGCAGAAGAAGCACCGGCUAACUCCGUGCCAGCAGCCGCGGUAAUACGGAGGGUGCAAGCGUUAAUCGGAAUUACUAGGCGUAAAGCGCACGCAGGCGGUCUGUUAAGUCAGAUGUGAAAUCCCCGGGCUUAACCUGGGAACUGCAUUUGAAACUGGCAGGCUUGAGUCUUGUAGAGGGGGUAGAAUUCCGAGGUGUAGCGGUGAAAUGCGUAGAGAUCUGGAGGAAUACCGGUGGCGAAGGCGGCCCCUGGGACAAAGACUGACGCUCAGGUGCGAAAGCGUGGGGAGCGAAACAGGAUUAGGAUACC
rnacentral:rRNA from 1 species